rnacentral:rRNA from 1 species
UAACGCGUGAGAAUCUGCCCUCAGGACGGGGACAACAGCUGGAAACGGCUGCUAAUACCCGAUGUGCCGAGAGGUGAAAUCUAAUUGGCCUGAGGAUGAGCUCGCGUCUGAUUAGCUAGUUGGUAGGGUAAGAGCCUACCAAGGCGACGAUCAGUAGCUGGUCUGAGAGGAUGAUCAGCCACACUGGGACUGAGACACGGCCCAGACUCCUACGGGAGGCAGCAGUGGGGAAUUUUCCGCAAUGGGCGCAAGCCUGACGGAGCAAGACCGCGUGCGGGAUGAAGGUCUGUGGACUGUAAACCGCUUUUGAUAGGGAAGAACACAAUGACGGUACCUAUCGAAUCAGCCUCGGCUAACUCCGUGCCAGCAGCCGCGGUAAUACGGAGGAGGCAAGCGUUAUCCGGAAUUAUUGGGCGUAAAGCGUCCGUAGGUGGUGAUGCAAGUCUAUUGUCAAAGCAUGAGGCUUAACCUCAUACCGGCAGUGGAAACUGCAUUGCUAGAGUGCGAUAGGGGCAAGGGGAAUUCCCAGUGUAGCGGUGAAAUGCGUAGAUAUUGGGAAGAACAUCGGUGGCGAAAGCGCCUUGCUGGGUCUGCACUGACACUGAGGGACGAAAGCUAGGGGAGCGAAAGGGAUUAGAUACCCCCUGUACUCACGCGUUCC